rnacentral:snRNA from 1 species
GCACUCACUUCAGCAGCACAUGUAAGAAAAUUGGAACGACAGAGAAAAUUGGCAUGGCGACUGUACGAGGAUGACAUGCAAAUUCAUGAAGUAUUCAAUAUUUUU